rnacentral:lncRNA from 10 species
CCAGGACCUUAAAAAGAGCCCAAGUUGUUGAGCUCCCUGCCAAGUCACCCCCAGGUAUCUCUGCCCACCAGCUUGCAUGAGCCAGAUCCUCAGUGCAGGUUUUUCCAAUCAGUCAUUUGUUCUUCCACCCAACGCUCAAGAUUUGCUUCUUCAAGACAACUCUCUGAUCAGCUGAGACCCAUAGACACCCAGCUUCUACCACACAUAUGAUGGCAUUAUCCUAGGGCAUGGCAGAGCAACGCAAGGGAAAACUCUGGGCCCCCAAGUGAUGUCAUGGAGGAGAACUCUCAACCCAGAACUACUACGUGAGAAACAACGCUCUCUCUUCUUUAAGCCAUAGGUGUGUUGGGAAUCUUUGUUACAGCAGCACGCCUGAUCUUUUGUUUUGUUUUGUUUUGUUUUAGAGAUGGAGUCUUGCUCUUUCGCCAGGCUGGAGUGCAGUGGUGCGAUCUUGGCUCACCAUGUUGGUCAGGCUGGUUUCAAAUCCCUGACCUCAAGUGAUCCUCCCACCUUGGCCUCCCAAAGUGCUGGGAUUACAGGUGUGAGCCACCGCACCCGGCCCAGCCAUGCCUUGUCUUAACUAGCAUAGCCGCCCAACGUCCACUUCUUUUGGCCAUGUUGUCCUGAUUCUGCUGGAGAAUCCCUUUCCCACUGCUCCCAGACCAGUGGUGUAGCUGACCUGCGCUCUCUCCACUCAAUUCAGGGGAGGGAGGGGUUUAGGCCUGGGCUAAGAGAGCUGCACAUUUCCCAGGGCACAGUGAUUAGUUGAGGGUGGGUCCCAGAGCCAAAUCUGCCCAAGAUCUUAGCCUGAAAGAGAAACCCUCCUGCUGAGUGACUGCACUGUGAGGCAGAAGUCCAGAGCUGUGGGUGGCCAUCCAGCCUCCAUUUGCGCCUGCCUGAGAAAGAAGCCACCAUGGGGGAAAUCGAGCUAAAAGACGGAGAGGGAGGUAAGAGAGGAUGACAUCACAUAAGCACCAGAUCUGGCCACCCCUGAAACUGGAACAACCCUAAGCUUUACAGCUACUACAUUCCCUUUUCUGCUGAAGUUGUUUUACACUGGGUUUCUGUCUCUUGCAACCAAGAGCUCUGUUAAAUAAAAACCUGACCCUAAGGAGAACGUUAGCUGGUUCACAAUUCCCUGUGCAAAACAGGCACAGGUCAGCUGCCCCAGCCUGUCGUUUGGAUAUUCCUUUCUAAGAACGCUCACUUUUGUUGUCUACAUGACCCAGAUAACCAAGGAGAAAGCAAAUCAACCGCCUUCCAGCGGCGCCUUCCUUGGCAGCAAGUGCUAAGAGAGAACACAAUGUGAGUACUCUGCCCUCUGGAGUCAGGGUUGAUCCUCAGCACUUGCUGUCCUGGGAGGCUGCACCUGUGACACUUGAGUGCCAGGUUCAACCCCUACUGCUGCUGCUGCUGCCUGAAUGGGGCCAUUUAGACUGUUGAGUGCUACAGCCUCAGCCCAGGAACCCGGAGCUUCACAUGAGGCAGAGCAGGGCCCCAGGGUCCCUGAAACUUGCCAGUUCAAACAGCAGAGGGGUGAGGACUCCCCAGUCAGCCCUGGUCUCAUACCUGCCUCUGCAUGGUCCCAGUCCAGCCUGAGGCCUUUGCUUUCUUUUUUGAAGGGAAGGUGAGGAGAGAGGGGGAAAAUAGAGGUGUUCUGACUAGACUUAGGAUUCCUGGCCUCUGCCUCUGACCGCCAGAGGACAGCCUCUGCAGUUGCCUCAUCUACUCAUGAAAACAGGCCUGUGACCCCAGGGGUGCUCUGAGGAUUCUUCCAGAAAACAUCUGCCCAGCUAGGACUACCUAGCUCACUGCCCAAAAAGGGUUCAUUUCCUUUCCUUCUGAAACAAAAGCGCUUAAUUGGAAGAGAAGCAUUGACUCAAGCUAUAGGAUAUGCCACUUAAAAUGUCCAGAUCUUGGCACAAGGCCUGGCGCACAGUGUGGGAGAGAAGGAGAGAAGAAGGUGGAAGGAAAGGAGGGAGGGGAAAGAGGAAGCAGGGAGGGAGAAAAUAAGACAAGGGCCUCCUCAUCUGGAUGCUUCCCUAGACCAAGAAGUGGCCCAGGUGGUGCCCAGGGGACAGGGAGUGGGCAAUAAAAGACAAUGGGGUGUAGGUGAUAGGGUGUAGAUGAUCAGGGUAUAGGUGAUCAGGAUGUAGGUGAUGGGGUGUAGAUGACUGGGGUAUAGAUGAUUGAAGUGUAGGUGAUGGGGUAUAGAUGAUCGAGGUGUAGGUGAUGGGGUAUAGAUGAUUGAGGUGUAGGUGAUGGGGUGUAGGUGAUGGGGGUCAAGGUGAUCAAGGUGUAGGUGAUGGGGUAUAGAUGAUUGAGGUGUAGGUGAUGGGGUAUAGAUGAUCGAGGUGUAGGUGAUGGGGUAUAGAUGAUUGAGGUGUAGGUGAUGGGGUGUAGGUGAUGGGGGUCAAGGUGAUCAAGGUGUUGGUGAUGGGGUGUUGGUGAUCGGGGUGUAAGUGAUGAGGUAUAGGUGGUGGGGUGUAGAUGAUUGGGGUGUAGGUGAUGGGGUGUAGGUGACGGGUAUAGGUGAUGGGGUAUAGAUGAUCAGGGUGUAGGUGAUUGGGGUAUAGGUGAGCAGGGUGUAAGUGAAGGGGUAUAGGUGGUGGGGUAUAGAUGAUCAGGUGUAGGUGACUGGGGUUUGGGUGAUGGGGUGUAGGUGAUGGGGUAUAGAUGAUUGAGGUAUCGGUGAUGGGGGUCAAGGUGAUCAAGGUGUAGGUGAUGGGGUGUUGGUGAUUGGGGUGUAGGUGAUCAGGGUGUAAGUGAUGAGGUAUAGGUGAUGCAGUGUAGGUGAUCAGGGUAUAGGUGAUGAGGGUGUAGGUGAUCAGGGUGUAGGUGAUCCGAACUUCCUACUCAAUUCAGGCAACAGCUCCCAGCCUGAGGCAAAUACCCCCCGAGGCAGUCAGGGUCUCACCUCCCAUGGCUCUGACGCAGGCCUCCAAGGUGAGGAGAUGGAGGUAGCAGAGGUCACUUCACUCAGCUGUCACACACCCUGAGGGAACUCCUGUCACUGUUAUCCCACCUGCAAGUGAGGAGCCAGCAUUUCUCAUGCUCCAGGGUUGGCCACAGAGCCCAUUCAAGGGAGGGAGAAGAGCCUUCGGCCAGCGCAUCCUAACCGCAGAAAGCCAAGACCUCUGCAGAAAAAGAGACCAGGCCCAUAAAAAGAGAUCCAUGAGUUGAGUUCCCUGCCAUGCCACCCCCAGGCAUCUCUGCCCACCAGCCUGCAUGAGCCAGCCCCUCAGUGCAGGUUUUUCCAAUUGGCCGUUUGUUCUUCCACCCAACACUCAAGAUUUGCUUCUCAGCCUGGACAACAUAGCAAAACCCCAUCUCUACAAAAAAUACAAAAAUUAGCUGGGCAUAGUGGCACACACCUAUAGUCCCAGCUACUCGGGAGGCUGAAGUGGGAAGAUUACCUGAGCCUGGGAGGUCAAGGUUGCAGUGAGCCAUGAUCAUGCCACUGUACUCCAGCCUGGGUGACAGAGUGAGAACUUGUCUCAAAAACAAAAAAAGAGAGGAAGAUCUGCUUCUUCAAACCCACACAACUAAUAUAAAGUAAUCAACCUCCCCACCUCAAUAACCUGAAGUUAAACAUCACACAAUAAGCCCUGAACAGAGAGCUGUAGGUCAAUGUUCCAUUUUGCUUUUAAAAGCUUCACAAGAACAUUUCAUUUAUUAAAAUAGUUUCUGUAAACUCUUUCAGAAUAACAAAAUUCACUUGCCUUGCUUAAACAGCAUUUCAAGUAGAAGUAUUUUUAUUUCAAGGCACCAUAAAAUGAUGAUCUCUCUAAGAAAUACCUCUCCUUC